rnacentral:SRP_RNA from 1 species
GCCGGACGCGGUGGCGCGCGCCUGUAGUCCCAGCUUCUCGGGAGGCUGAGACGGGAGGAUCGCUUGAGCCCAGGAGUUCUGGGCUGUAGUGCGCUAUGCCGAUCGGGUGUCCGCACUAAGUUCGGCAUCAGUAUGGUGAUCUCCCGGGGGUGGGGGACCACCAGGUUGCCUAAGGAGGGGUGAACCGGCCCAGGUCGGAAACGGAGCAGGUCAAAACUCCCCUGCUGAUCAGUAGUGGGAUCGCGCCUGUGAAUAGCCACUGCACUCCAGCCUGGGCAACAUAGCGAGACCCCAUCUCU